rnacentral:rRNA from 1 species
GACGAACGCUGGCGGCGUGCUUAACACAUGCAAGUCGUACGGUAAGGCCCUUUCGGGGGUACACGAGUGGCGAACGGUUGAGUAACACGUGAGUAACCUGCCCACAACUUUGGGAUAACGCUAGGAAACUGGUGCUAAUACUGGAUAUGUGCUCCUGCUGCAUGGUGGGGGUUGGAAAGCUCCGGCGGUUGUGGAUGGACUCGCGGCCUAUCAGCUUGUUGGUGGGGUAGUGGCCUACCAAGGCGGCGACGGGUAGCCGGCCUGAGAGGGUGACCGGCCACAUUGGGACUGAGAUACGGCCCAGACUCCUACGGGAGGCAGCAGUGGGGAAUAUUGCACAAUGGGCGCAAGCCUGAUGCAGCAACGCCGCGUGCGGGAUGACGGCCUUCGGGUUGUAAACCGCUUUCAGCAGGGACGAAGCUUUUUGUGACGGUACCUGCAGAAGAAGCACCGGCCAACUACGUG